CCUGGUGGCUCAGGCGGUAAAGCGUCUGCCUGCAAUGCGGGAGACCCGGGUUCGAUUCCUGGGUCAGGA
rnacentral:tRNA from 1 species